rnacentral:rRNA from 1 species
UGGGGAAUUUUGGACAAUGGGCGCAAGCCUGAUCCAGCCAUUCCGCGUGAGUGAAGAAGGCCUUUGGGUUGUAAAGCUCUUUCGCAAGGGAAGAAAACUUAGGCUCUAACAUAGCCUGAGGUUGACGGUACCUUGAUAAGAAGCACCGGCUAACUACGUGCCAGCAGCCGCGGUAAUACGUAGGGUGCGAGCGUUAAUCGGAAUUACUGGGCGUAAAGCGUGCGCAGGCGGUUUUGUAAGUCAGAUGUGAAAUCCCCGAGCUCAACUUGGGAACUGCGUUUGAAACUACAAGACUAGAAUACGUCAGAGGGGGGGUAGAAUUCCACGUGUAGCAGUGAAAUGCGUAGAGAUGUGGAGGAAUACCAAUGGCGAAGGCAGCCCCCUGGGAUAAUAUUGACGCUCAUGCACGAAAGCGUGGGGAGCAAACAG